rnacentral:piRNA from 1 species
UGGCUUAAGGAGUGUGACUUGAGAGCU